UACGUAGGUGGCAAGCGUUGUCCGGAAUUAUUGGGCGUAAAGCGCGCGCAGGUGGUUCUUUAAGUCUGAUGUGAAAGCCCACGGCUCAACCGUGGAGGGUCAUUGGAAACUGGGGAACUUGAGUGCAGAAGAGGAAAGUGGAAUUCCACGUGUAGCGGUGAAAUGCGUAGAGAUGUGGAGGAACACCAGUGGCGAAGGCGACUUGCUAAACGAUCAUUGACGCUGAGGCACGAAAGCGUGGGGAUCAAACAGG
rnacentral:rRNA from 1 species